CCUGCUGAUUUGAAAUUGGUUAGUAUAAAAUCCCUUUUGCAAACCAACCACCACCACGACGGCUUCACUCCGUCCGUCCUUUUGCAACCUCCUCGCCGGCGCUUAACCUCCUUCUCACUGCUUUCUUCACCAAACCCAGAGCCUCCCUCAAUUCAUUUGGUUAAAAAAGUUAUUGAGAGUUCAUCUUCUAGUCUAUUUAUCAGUGCUACUCUUGAGAUAUAGAGCAAUGUCAGUGAUGGGAACUGAUACAUCAUGGGUGGGCAGAAAACCUCUGAGGCGCAUAGGAGGGAUGUCAGAUGCCCUCUCCAUUGCCGCCGAUCUCGGCUUCUCUGUCGCCCCUCCUCCUUCUCAGGAAGAGAUCCAGACCCUAUCCACAAGCGAAAAAGGUGAUGAUUUGGUAAAGGUUUUAAGAGAGCUGACUGCUGUGCAAAGAAAAAUCGCAGAUUUGCAGGUGGAACUUCAAGGUCGGAAGGAGGACAAAAAUGUUGCUCAUCUCACCCAUGUGAGUGAAAUGGAAAAGAAGAUUGAGACUUUGUCAAGGAUAACUGCCAUAUUGAAAGAUGUCAUCCAAAAUAAGGAUCGCAUAAUAGCUCGUCUUCAGCAGCCAUAUUCAUUAGAUUGCAUCCCAGUUGAGGCUGAAUAUCAGAAACAAUUUUCAGAACUCUUAAUGAAGGCUGCAAGUGACUAUGGCGCCUUGACAGCAUCCAUUGCAGAUUUUCAGUGGACACAGAACUUCAAAGAACCACCAUCAGUUUGGGGGGAGAUGCUUCGUCCAAUCCCUGUUGCUUUAGCUUCAUGCACACGAUUCUUUGAAGCGAUGUCAGCAAUGAGAGACUCAUUUGCCACACUUCAGAAGUUGAGAGUGGGCCAUUCUUCUUCCUCCGCUAUGGCACCAAAUCCAGAUUCGUCACAAAGGAUACCGGGAGAUUCUGAUUGUGUAACUCCUCCCUGGAGAACUGAAUCAAGACUUGAGGACUUAGCUUCCAGAAGCCCGGCAAAGUCAGAGGUUGAUCGGGGGGAAGAUGAUGAUGAAAACAGUGAAGUGGGGGAGAAUAGUCAAGUUGAUGGAAUUAGUCACAGGAGAUUAUCUUGGCCACCGUCAAUCAAACAAAAUGGUCUGCAGUCAUAGCACGUUUAACUGCUGGAAUUUGGAAUCGAGUGAGGGAGUAUAGCACAAAAUUCAAUUAUUCAAUGCUGUCCCAGUGCUGUCAAUAGAACGUCAUUUGUUGUAUUCUUGCAUUAACUUUCACCAGAUGUGCUCAACUUCAAAUGGGCAGGUCUAAUCGUUAGCAAAAUCGAAAGGCAAAAGAAUCACUACCGAGUCUACUCUACGGUUCUAAUUGCUAUGACAGCAAAGGAGAAGGAAUUUGAGGCUCCAAAAAUACUCUGCCAUUUUUCAUGGAAGAAACGGUGCAAGGAUCAAAGACGAUUAAAGAAAGAAAGGAGUGGCAUAACAUUGUAGAUGAAUUAAAUAACUCAAAGCAAGAAGACAGCAGGGCUCUCCUUCAAUUUGGCACCACUUGAGACAGAUCUUUGGGACCAAUUACUUAUUUCUCACGGGUGUUUAUGUCAUUUGCCUUAUUCUUAUGAAUUUUUCUUGUCUAAUUUCCCUAUCAUCUCUCGCAAAAUUUUCUUUUUAUGGUCCUUUUGGAUGGAAAUGAAGUUUAUGACUUUCUAAAUAA